rnacentral:sRNA from 1 species
CUACAAGUUAUAAACUGCUGUACACGGGUAACAGGCUGUUUUUCAUUGAGACAGGCAGGGAUGUGGGCAGUGGCAUUGAUAGGUGGGACCUCCCCCCACCCCACCCUCCACCGCAGGUGAACCUGCCGCUGCUCACCCUGAGCCAGCCCCUGCUGUUGGGCAUCGCCCGAAACGAGACCAGUGCUGGCCGAGCCAGUGCCGAGUUCUAUGUCCAGUGCAGCCUGACUUCUGAGCAGGUGAGGAAGCACUACCUGAGUGGGGGACCCGAGGCCCACGAGUCUACAGGAAUCAUCUUUGUGGAGACACAGAAAGUGCGGAGAUUGCAGGAGACGGAGAUGUGGGCUGAACUCUGCCCCUCGGCCAAAGGCGCCAUCAUCCUCUACAACCGGGUUCAGGGAAGUCCCACUGGAGCGGCCCUAAGGUCCCCAGCCCUACUCCCGCCACUCUGAAGAUAAUAAAGGACUUUAUUCUUGGA